GCGUUGUCCGGAUUUAUUGGGCGUAAAGAGCUCGUAGGCGGUUGAGUAAGUCGGGUGUGAAAACUCUGGGCUUAACCCAGAGCCGCCACUCGAUACUGCUCUGACUUGAGUUCGGUAGGGGAGCAGGGAAUUCCUAGUGUAGCGGUGAAAUGCGCAGAUAUUAGGAGGAACACCGGUGGCGAAGGCGCUGCUCUGGGCCGAAACUGACGCUGAGGAGCGAAAGCGU
rnacentral:rRNA from 1 species